CAGCCCCUUACUGCUAGCCCAGCGUGGGUCCCUAUGUCCCCAAAGCCCACAGCAGAAUUUCUGGUGUGGAUUACAGAGUGUCCUUGGGAGAAUGACUAUGACAGAAGGAGCUGGAUACAGGUACUGUCCAAGGAAAGUAUUGAGAGGGAGCAGGUCUGACUCAGAAAGAUUUGGGGCAGGGGGUUGGACUUGGGGCUGUGUGCAGACCCAGGCAUGGGGCCAAGGCUGAGCUGGGAGCAUGGGACAGGCCUGUGGGCGGGCACACGGAGCCCAGGGCAGGGUUCACAGAGCUAUUUUCAGUUCUCUUGCAGGAUCUCCUUCCCAGCCUUCAGAAAUUGCCGGUCUGGGAGUUGGGGGCCAGGAGAAGAUCCUG
rnacentral:lncRNA from 1 species